GACGAACGCUGGCGGCGUGCUUAACACAUGCAAGUCGAACGGAAAGGCCCUGCUUUUGUGGGGCGCUCGAGUGGCGAACGGGUGAGUAACACGUGAGUAACCUGCCCUUGACUUUGGGAUAACUUCAGGAAACUGGGGCUAAUACCGGAUAGGAGCUCCUGCUGCAUGGUGGGGGUUGGAAAGUUUCGGCGGUUGGGGAUGGACUCGCGGCUUAUCAGCUUGUUGGUGGGGUAGUGGCUUACCAAGGCUUUGACGGGUAGCCGGCCUGAGAGGGUGACCGGCCACAUUGGGACUGAGAUACGGCCCAGACUCCUACGGGAGGCAGCAGUGGGGAAUAUUGCACAAUGGGCGGGAGCCUGAUGCAGCAACGCCGCGUGCGGGAUGACGGCCUUCGGGUUGUAAACCGCUUUCGCCUGUGACGAAGCGUGAGUGACGGUAAUGGGUAAAGAAGCACCGGCUAACUACGUG
rnacentral:rRNA from 1 species